GAUGAACGCUAGCUACAGGCUUAACACAUGCAAGUCGAGGGGAAACGACAUCGAAAGCUUGCUUUUGAUGGGCGUCGACCGGCGCACGGGUGAGUAACGCGUAUCCAACCUGCCCACCACUUGGGGAUAACCUUGCGAAAGUAAGACUAAUACCCAAUGAUAUCUCUAGAAGACAUCUGAAAGAGAUUAAAGAUUUAUCGGUGAUGGAUGGGGAUGCGUCUGAUUAGCUUGUUGGCGGGGUAACGGCCCACCAAGGCUACGAUCAGUAGGGGUUCUGAGAGGAAGGUCCCCCACAUUGGAACUGAGACACGGUCCAAACUCCUACGGGAGGCAGCAGUGAGGAAUAUUGGUCAAUGGACGAGAGUCUGAACCAGCCAAGUAGCGUGCAGGAUGACGGCCCUAUGGGUUGUAAACUGCUUUUAUAAGGGAAUAAAGUGAGUCUCGUGAGACUUUUUGCAUGUACCUUAUGAAUAAGGACCGGCUAAUUCCGUGCCAGCCGCCGCAGUAA
rnacentral:rRNA from 1 species